UACGUAGGGGGCAAGCGUUAUCCGGAUUUACUGGGUGUAAAGGGAGCGUAGACGGUCCUGCAAGCCAGAUGUGAAAGCCCGGGGCUCAACCCCGGGACUGCAUUUGGAACUGUAAGGCUAGAGUGUCGGAGAGGCAGGCGGAAUUCCUAGUGUAGCGGUGAAAUGCGUAGGUAUUAGGAGGAACACCAGUGGCGAAGGCGGCCUGCUGGACGAUGACUGACGUUGAGGCUCGAAAGCGUGGGGAGCAAACAGG
rnacentral:rRNA from 1 species